AAAAAAACAAGCCGUAGGUUUCCAUGUCCAACGUUUGACUGUCCGUCUUAUAUGAAAUUUUUUAUAAUUAGUAUGUUUAUUGAUGUUAGAUGAUAAAACAUGAUUAAUACUUUAUGCGUGACUUGUCUUUUUUAAUUUUUUUAAAUAAGACGGACGGUCAAACAUUGGAUAUAGAAAUCAGGGUUUAUCUUUUU
rfam:Oryza glaberrima chromosome 8 Oglab08_0001_11, whole genome shotgun sequence.